rnacentral:misc_RNA from 1 species
UCCGAGUUGACCCCGGCAGUCUCCUAUGAGUCCCCACCAUCACGUGCUGGCAACAUAGAACGAGGGUUGCGCUCGUUGCGGGACUUAACCCAACAUCUCACGACACGAGCUGACGACAACCAUGCACCACCUCUGCUGGCUCCCUUGCGGGUCAGUCCAUGUUUCCAAAGACUUACCACCAGUAGUUCAAGCCCAGGUAAGGUUCUUCGCGUUGCGUCGAAUUAAACCACAUGCUCCACCGCUUGUGCGGGCCCCCGUCAAUUCCUUUGAGUUUUAGCCUUGCGGCCGUACUCCCCAGGCGGUCAACUUAACGCGUUAGCUUCGCAACCGAAAGGGUCGACUCUCCCGAUUGCUAGUUGACAUAGUUUAGGGCGUGGACUAC